rnacentral:rRNA from 1 species
GUGGGGAAUCUUAGACAAUGGGCGCAAGCCUGAUCUAGCCAUGCCGCGUGAUCGAUGAAGGCCUUAGGGUUGUAAAGAUCUUUCGCUGGGGAAGAUAAUGACUGUACCCAGUAAAGAAGCCCCGGCUAACUCCGUGCCAGCAGCCGCGGUAAUACGGAGGGGGCUAGCGUUAUUCGGAAUUACUGGGCGUAAAGCGCACGUAGGCGGACUGGAAAGUUGGGGGUGAAAUCCCGGGGCUCAACCUCGGAACUGCCUUCAAAACUCCCAGUCUUGAGUUCGAGAGAGGUGAGUGGAAUUCCGAGUGUAGAGGUGAAAUUCGUAGAUAUUCGGAGGAACACCAGUGGCGAAGGCGGCUCACUGGCUCGAUACUGACGCUGAGGUGCGAAAGCGUGGGGAGCAAACAGGAUUAGAAACCCCAGUAGUCC